GAUGAACGCUGGCGGCGUGCCUAAUACAUGCCAGUCGAGCGAACAGAUGAGGAGCUUGCUCCUCUGACGUUAGCGGCGGACGGGUGAGUAACACGUGGAUAACCUACCUAUAAGACUGGGAUAACUUCGGGAAACCGGAGCUAAUACCGGAUAAUAUAUUGAACCGCAUGGUUCAAUAGUGAAAGACGGUUUUGCUGUCACUUAUAGAUGGAUCCGCGCCGCAUUAGCUAGUUGGUAAGGUAACGGCUUACCAAGGCAACGAUGCGUAGCCGACCUGAGAGGGUGGUCGGCCACACUGGAACUGAGACACGGUCCAGACUCCUACGGGAGGCAGCAGUAGGGAAUCUUCCGCAAUGGGCGAAAGCCUGACGGAGCAACGCCGCGUGAGUGAUGAAGGUCUUCGGAUCGUAAAGCUCUGUUAUUAGGGAAGAACAAAUGUGUAAGUAACUAUGCACGUCUUGACGGUACCUAAUCAGAAAGCCACGGCUAACUACGUG
rnacentral:rRNA from 1 species